rnacentral:rRNA from 1 species
UCGGGAAUUUUGGGCAAUGGGCGAAAGCCUGACCCAGCAACGCCGCGUGAGGGAUGAAGUAUUUCGGUAUGUAAACCUCGAAAGAAUGGGAAGAAUAAAUGACGGUACCAUUUAUAAGCCCCGGCUAACUACGUGCCAGCAGCCGCGGUAAUACGUAGGGAGCAAGCGGUGUUCGGAUUUACUGGGCGUAAAGGGCGCGUAGGCGGCGCGGUAAGUCACUUGUGAAAUCUCUGAGCUUAACUCAGAACGGCCAAGUGAUACUGCUGUGCUAGAGUGCGGAAGAGGCAACCGGAAUUCUUGGUGUAGCGGUGAAAUGCGUAGAUAUCAAGAGGAACACCUGAGGCGAAGGCGGGUUGCUGGGCCGACACUGACGCUGAUGCGCGAAAGCCAGGGG